CCCGUACGUAAAGCAUCCUGGAAGGUAUGUCGAUCGACAACUUAGUAGUUGGAUCAAUCGACGGUCUGAAAGGUGUAUCGAUCGACAAUCCAUAAUUGGUAUCGAUCGACACUUUCUCAAGACCAACAAGCGACAUCUGAGGUCUUAGAUCCGGCAAUAGAUAGUCUAAAAAUAAGGAAGUUGAUCGACUAUUCUUUAAGUUUGAGUUCUAGAAUAUCCACCAUACACUUAGUCUUUAUAUCUCUAUAAUCCUGAUUGUCUGAAUAGAAACUCUAAGUCUUAACGCCUUUCAUAUCUGUUUCAAAACCCCAAUCAA
rnacentral:lncRNA from 1 species